AAUUUAUUCAAAGUGCAUUAAUUUUAUAACAGAUGUCUGGGGCUGUGAUAAAAGUCUAUUUUACUAUAUGGUGACGGAUGCCUAUAUUUUUCCUGGAUACCAGUAUCUGGCUCCGGCGUAUCCUUACUUAUUACUAGCUCUGUUUUUUUAGGAACUUUUCAGAGGAUACUUCUGCAAAUUUUACGAUGGUAAUAAAUUCUAGCAACGUUUGAACGAAGGAAUGUCAAGAAGACAAGAUGAAAGUCUACACAAUGCAUGUGGAGAAGGGGAUCUUCACAAAGUACAAGAGAUCUUGCAAAAGGACCCGGAUAUCACCUACAGGUUGAAUCAACGUCGCGGUCCCUUGGGCAACACUCCAUUGCACAACGCUGUACGUGCGGGUCAUGUUGAUAUCUUACAACUGUUGCUUAACCAUGGUGCCAGUGUGAACACGGUGGACAAUGAUGAUGCUACACCAUUGCACAAAGCUGCAUAUCACGGUCAUGUUGAUAUCUUACAACUGUUGCUUAACCAUGGUGCCAGUGUGAACACGGUGGACAACAUGGGUGAUACACCAUUGCACCAAGCUGCAUAUCGCGGUGAUGUUGAUAUCUUACAACUGUUGCUUAACCAUGGUGCC
rnacentral:lncRNA from 1 species